rnacentral:rRNA from 1 species
CAGCCGCCGCGGGAAUACGAAGGGUGCAGGCGUUAAUCGGAAUUACUGGGCGUAAAGCGUGCGUAGGCGGUUUGUUAAGUCUGCUGUGAAAUCCCCGGGCUCAACCUAGGAAUGGCAGUGGAUACUGGCAAGCUAGAGUGUGUCAGAGGAUGGUGGAAUUCCCGGUGUAGCGGUGAAAUGCAUAGAGAUCGGGAGGAACAUCAAUGGCGAAGGCGGCCAUCUGGGACAACACUGACGCUGAGGCACGAAAGCGUGGGGAGCAAACAGGAUUAGAUACCCGCGUAGUCCCUGUCUCUUAUAC